AUUGAACGCUAGCGGGAUGCUUUACACAUGCAAGUCGAACGAGUGGCGGACGGGUGAGUAAUAUCUCGGAACGUGCCUAGUAGAGGGGGAUAACUACUUGAAAGGGUGGCUAAUACCGCAUACCAUCGGAUGGGCCGAAAUCGGAUUAGCUAGUUGGUGGGGUAAAGGCUCACCAAGGCAACGAUCCGUAGCUGGUCUGAGAGGACGACCAGCCACACGUGGACGGAGACACGGCCCAGACUCCUACGGGAGGCAGCAGUGGGGAAUUUUGCACAAUGGGGGCAACCCUGAUGCAGCCAUCCCGCGUGUAUGAGAAGGCCUUCGGGUUGUAAAGUACUUUUAGCGGGGAGGCGUUAUCUGCAGAAGAAGCACCGGCUAACUCCGUGCCAGCAGCCGCGGUAAUAC
rnacentral:rRNA from 1 species